UUGAUAGAUACCUGGGCGGAGUCCUCAGGUGAGAGCUCACAGUUGUGACUGCUGGCAACGUCGGCGACAGAAAUUGAAGAAAACAGAGGAACCUUUUUCUUUUUUUAUUUAACGAAAGAAAUAAGUUGAACAUUACUGUUAGUUUUCUUUUCAAUAUAACAGUUUAAGAGGAACGACUUUGAGUAACAAACCAGGAGCAGAGAACCGACAUGAGGGCGUUUAUUUCGACGCUGUUGUUCUUAAGCGCAGCAAAAGGUGUAAGUGGCUUUAGCGUCACUACAUCCAAUCCAGAUUUGAGCGUGAAAGAGAAUGAAGGAGUGGACCUGACUUGCUCAUACUCAGCAGACUUUGGUUCAGAUGCCAGAACUGAGUGGAAAUUCAAAGACAAGAAAGGCUCUCAGUCGCUAGUGGUGUUUGAUGGGAAACUAACACAGUCAUAUGAAAGCCGCGCAACGUUGUACGGAGGCUCUAAUUUGAGAUUCUCCAAAGUGACUCGUGUGGAUACAGGAGAAUACUCCUGUGAAGUUUCCAGCUCCAAAAGCCAUUUCGCUUCAGUUACAGUACGCCUUACUGUUCUGGUGCCCCCAUCUGUACCCUUCUGUAGAAUCCCCCAGUCAGCGACAACGGGUACAACAGUCCGUCUGUUCUGCGAUGAUCCUGAGGCUUCACCUCCUCCGACAUACCAGUGGUACAAAGAUGGCACUCUUCUGCCUGCAAAUCCCAGCACGAUUGCUGGUUUCAAAAAUGCCACCUACAAGCUAAAUUCAGCAUCUGGCGAACUGGAGUUUCCUUCUGCUUCCUUGGCGGACUCAGGCCAGUACUACUGUGUUGUUUCCAACAGUGCUGGUCCUUCUCAGAAAUGCAGCGGUCUAAAGAUGGAUGUCCGUGAUAUAAACACUGGAGGAAUUGUUGCUGGGGUAAUCGUGGCUCUGCUGCUAGUGGCCCUUCUGGUAUUUAGCAUUUGGUAUGCCAAGAAGAAAGGUUAUCUGCCCAGUAAAAAAAAGUGAAAGCAAACAAAAGCCCAACGUGGUCUACCAGUCCCCAUCAUCACACGGUGGUGGCGACGAUGAGGAAGAUGGGGAGUUCAAACAGAAGUCAUCGUUUGUGGUGUAGUCAGCAAGCCGUCGUCGGCAACGGCUGGUUUUAAAAUCUCUUGGCAAGAUAUUUUUCUGUGUGCUGUUUUUUUUUUUUUUUGUAAUACAGGUUGUUAAUUCUAGUGUCUGAAAUGUCGAAUUUUAGGAAUAUGAUUAUUUUUUUUU